GGGACAACUGUAAAUCAAACUUCCGCUGCAAGGUUUCCUGUUGCAAGUAAUGUCAGCCAAAAUCAACCAAGGCAUCCAUCUGUUUUCGGGACAAGUGUAAACCAACCUUUCGCCGGAAGAGUUCCUGUUGCAAGUAAUGUCAGCAAAAAUCAACAAUUUCAUCCAUCUGCUUUGAGGGCAACUGUAAACCAACCUUCCACCGGAAGAGUUCCUGUUGCAAGUAAUGUCAGCAGAAAUCAACAAUUGCAUCCAUCUGCUUUGAUGACAACUGUGAACCAACCUUCAACCGGAAGAGUUCCUGUUGCAGGUAAUGUCAGCCAAAAUCAACAAAUGAAUCCAUCUGCUUUGAGGACAACUGUGAACCAACCUUCGACCGGAAGAGUUCCUGUUGCAAAUAAUGUCAGCCAAAAUCAACAAAUGCAUCCAUCUAUUAUGGCUGCAC
rnacentral:lncRNA from 1 species